rnacentral:rRNA from 1 species
CGGAAGCAAGACAACAGGGAUUGCCCUAGUAACGGCGAGUGAAGCGGCAACAGCUCAAAUUUGAAAUCUGGCGUCUUUGGCGUCCGAGUUGUAAUUUGCAGAGGGCGCUUUGGCAUUGGCAGCGGUCCAAGUUCCUUGGAACAGGACGUCACAGAGGGUGAGAAUCCCGUACGUGGUCGCUAGCCUCUACCGUGUAAAGCCCCUUCGACGAGUCGAGUUGUUUGGGAAUGCAGCUCUAAAUGGGAGGUAAAUUUCUUCUAAAGCUAAAUACUGGCCAGAGACCGAUAGCGCACAAGUAGAGUGAUCGAAAGAUGAAAAGCACUUUGGAAAGAGAGUUAAAAAGCACGUGAAAUUGUUGAAAGGGAAGCGCUUGCAGCCAGACUUGCCUGUAGUUGCUCAUCCGGGUUUCUACCCGGUGCACUCUUCUACGGGCAGGCCAGCAUCAGUUUGGGCGGUUGGAUAAAGGUCUCUGUCAUGUACCUCCUUUCGGGGAGGCCUUAUAGGGGAGACGACAUGCAACCAGCCUGGACUGAGGUCCGCGCAUCUGCUAGGAUGCUGGCGUAAUGGCUGUAAGCGGCCCGUCUUGAAACACGGACCAAGGAGUCUAACAUCUAUGCGAGUGUUUGGGUGUCAAGCCCGAACGCGUAAUGAAAGUGAACGGAGGUGGGAACCUUUCGGGGUGCACCAUCGACCGAUCCUGAUGUCUUCGGAUGGAUUUGAGUAAGAGCAUAGCUGUUGGGACCCGAAAGAUGGUGAACUAUGCUUGAAUAGGGUGAAGCCAGAGGAAACUCUGGUGGAGGCUCGCAGCGGUUCUGACGUGCAAAUCGAUCGUCAAAUUUGGGCAUAGGGGCGAAAGACUAAUCGAACUAUCUAGUAGCUGGUUCUGCGAUGCUCUCGCUGUAGAGGAA